UACGUAGGCAGCAAGCGUUGUUCGGAGUUACUGGGCGUAAAGGGUGCGUAGGCGGUUCUUUAAGUUUGGUGUGAAAUCUCCCGGCUCAACUGGGAGGGUGCGCCGAAUACUGAGGGACUAGAGUACGGGAGAGGAAAGUGGAAUUCCUGGUGUAGCGGUGAAAUGCGUAGAUAUCAGGAGGAACACCGGUGGUGUAGACGGCUUUCUGGACCGUAACUGACGCUGAGACACGAAAGCGUGGGUAGCAAACAGG
rnacentral:rRNA from 1 species